CUACGGGGGGCUCCAGCAGGGAAUAUUGCACAAUGGACGGAAGUCUGAUGCAGCGACGCCGCGUGGAUGAUGAAGGCCUUCGGGUUGUAAAAUCCUUUUCAGGGAGAAGAGGAAGGACGGUAUCCCUGGAAUAAGCGUCGGCUAACUACGUGCCAGCAGCCGCGGGAUACGUAGGACGCAAGCGUUAUCCGGAUUUACUGGGCGUAAAGCGUCUGUAGGCGGUUUAGUAAGUUUGAUGUGAAAGCUCCAGGCUCAACUUGGAGAGUGCAUUGAAUACUGCUAGACUUGAGGGGAUCAGAGGAAAGCGGAAUUUCCGGUGUAGCGGUAAAAUGCGCAGAUAUCGGAAAGAACACCAGUGGCGAAGGCGGCUUUCUGGGAUCAACCUGACGCUGAGCGACGAAAGCUAGGGUAGCGAACAGGAUUAGAUACCCUUGUAGUC
rnacentral:rRNA from 1 species